GGGGCAGUAGCUCAGCUGGGAGAGCGACGCGUUCGCAACGCGUAGGUCGCCGGUUCGAAUCCGGUCUGCUCCACCA
rnacentral:tRNA from 1 species